UUACUGUGUAUACUGUAGGUGGUUCUCAGAGGCUGAGAAGUGAUCCAAAAGUUUAAAGCCUUUGCUUUGUCACGAGGAUUUCCCCGAGAGGCCAUUCUCACGCCACCUCCAGCAGGGAACUGCCCUCCGUCACCAUCUGGCCGUUAGGUCCCUCCCCUUUUAUAUUCCACCAUUGAUUUGCACGCCAAUAAGAGCUGGUCAAUAUGUAUCAAUAUGUCACUUCUCUGCCUGAUAAACUAUAAUCAAUAUGUCACUUCUCUGCCUAAUAAACUAUCAUCAAUAUGUCACUUCUCUGCCUAAUAAACUAUCAUCAAUA